rnacentral:rRNA from 1 species
GACGAACGCUGGCGGCGUGCUUAACACAUGCAAGUCGAACGGUAAGGCCCUUCGGGGUACACGAGUGGCGAACGGGUGAGUAACACGUGGGUGAUCUGCCCUGCACUUCGGGAUAAGCCUGGGAAACUGGGUCUAAUACCGGAUAGGACCACUGCCUGCAUGGGUGGUGGUGGAAAGCUUUUGCGGUGUGGGUUGGGCCCGCGGCCUAUCAGCUUGUUGGUGGGGUGAUGGCCUACCAUGGCGACGACGGGUGGCCGGCCUGGGAGGGUGACCGGCCAAACUGGGACGGGGAUACGGCCCAGACUCCUACGGGAGGCAGCAGUGGGGAAUAUUGCACAAUGGGCGCAAGCCUGAUGCAGCGACGCCGCGUGAGGGAUGACGGCCUUCGGGUUGUAAACCUCUUUCAGCACCGACGAAGCGCAAGUGACGGUAGGUGCAGAAGAAGGACCGGCCAACUACGUGCCAGCAGCCGCCGUAA